rnacentral:lncRNA from 1 species
GGGGGGUUGUUUCUAUGGAUUAGAGAGACUGCAGAGGGAGAAGUCACUCUACAAGAUAUGGCAGGAGCAGCCACAGACAGAUGUGAUGUGAGAUGAAGGACUGUAGGAUUGCUUCUGUUUAUCUAGAAGUGUCUGUGCACAUUUGGUGCAGGAGAGACUGUCAAGAGGUAGGUGCAUGUUGCAGCGUGGGAUCUGGGGAGGAUCUUUCUAGAAGGUGUAAAACUGGAGAUGUUUUGGGAGCAGUAGCCAGUGGAUGUGUUGUCACAUCAUCUCUAUAAGUGAUGACUGAUGAAGAGCCUGUACAAGCUGAAAAGAGACACCACAACAGGAACACAGGGUUGAUAAUUAAAGAAAUUGAAUUCACAUGCUGUUUAGAUAUUACUGAAAAUUGAUGUGGAUUUUGUUUUCUUCGGAGGCCAGGCCUCAUAACUGAGAUGUCUGUAAGCAGUGCAUCAAUCCAUGGCAUUUAUUUAGAGAACUGCAGUCUGGCUCUCACUGUAGCCCACAGCCUUUCCCUUUUCCUUCCCAUUCCCCUUCCCAUUUUUUUUAUGAUUUGAAUAACUGUAACCUGUGAUUCAUUUCAUGUGGAAAUUUCUCACCUACAAAUUUGGGGAAAUUUCUCCCAAUGCCAGGCAAGAUGUCUGUGAAUGCUGACAAAAACAAUGAUGUAACUGGGGACAGGGCUGUCAGAUGAGGACAUUCGUGUCUCCAACAGUUGUGGUGAAUAAGUCAAGCCUGUGCAAACCCAGUGGUUAAUCAGCUGGGGGGAAUUUGCACAUCUUGUUUGCCUGAGUCAGCUAGCUACCUAAAGGAUUUGCUAAUAGUUAAGUUUGCCUGAAUCAUAGGGCUGCCGGGUGCAGUAAGCAUCUGUUCACAUCCUGGCUGCUGUAAUUAAAGAGACAGGGAUGUGCUAUCUUUUUUUUUAAAAAAAAAAAAAAAGGAGAAAGCAGUGCACAACUGCAGAUAGUCUUUUUUUCCUUUUCCUGAUGUUUCUUGUUUGUCCUACUGCAAGACCAUUAGCUGUGACUGUCUGUGCUGUAUAUAGCUAUGUUUGGGGGAUUUUUAGCUCUGGAGACAUUUCAUCAGUUCUUCAUGAAGAAAGGACAAGUAACAGGAUGGAUAAUUCUGUCAGCAAGAUGAGCUUUGGAUGUGGAAUGCUCCAAAAGGCCUUUGCCAAAAAGAUGUCCAGUGCAUAGCUUCACAGCCCAUCUUCCCGGUUUCUGCUGGCACGUAUGACAUAAUAUCUACCAUAUGAAAGGAAGGAAAAAGGCUUCCAUAUAAAGUUCUUGCACAGUGUAAAGCAAGGACUUUAGGCUGGCGGAGACUGGUACUUCUGAACAUGGGACAGGGUGGGUGCCACAAUCUGUUUUGCUUUUACUGGUCGAUCUUGAGCAGGUUGCAUUCAUGUAACUGGGCCUCCCUUUUCAUUUCCUCCUCCUGUAAAGGAGAGGGAUGCUGAGUGCAGUGCACUGAGGCACUCAGAUAUCAUGGGAGUCAAAGCCUUAAGAAUGUUUCUUGAGGAUAAAGAUAGCAGAUUUGGCAAUACUCAAAUAUGUGUACUUUCUAAAUUUGGGUGUUUUGUUUAGAUAAAAAAUGUAAAAAAUCAAGGAAUAAAACCCUCCUAGUGUUUCA